rnacentral:lncRNA from 1 species
AAAUGGUGGCAACGUGAUGGUGACAGAGAAGAGACGGCGACGACAAAAAAUGGUGCAUGUGGUGGUGAUGUAGGAGGAGCGAUGACACAACAAAAAGGAAGUAGGAAAAAGAUGAGAGAAGGCAAGUAAGGGGCGUCACAAGGGAGGACAAAAAGAAAAAUGGAGCAAAAAUUUACAAGAGAGAAAAAAUAUGUUAAUAUUUGAAUAAAGGCAAUGUGAA